GACGAACGCUGGCGGCGUGCUUAAAACAUGCAAGUCGAACGGACUUCUCAUGAAGCUUGCGAUUGAGAAGUUAGUGGCGGACGGGUGAGUAACGCGUGGGCAACCUGCCCCUGAGCCCGGGAUAACAGUUCGAAAGGACUGCUAAGACCGGAUAUACUUGCGGUGAAGCAUUUCACUGCAAGGAAAGGGAACGCUCAGGGAUGGGCCCGCGUCCCAUUAGCUAGUUGGUGAGGUAACGGCCCACCAAGGCGACGAUGGGUAGCCGGCCUGAGAGGGUGAACGGCCACACUGGGACUGAGACACGGCCCAGACUCCUACGGGAGGCAGCAGUUGGGAAUCUUCGGCAAUGGGCGCAAGCCUGACCGAGCAACGCCGCGUGAGUGAUGAAGGUUUUCGGAUUGUAAAGCUCUGUCUUCCGGGACGAUAAAUGACGGUACCGGAGGAGGAAGCCACGGCUAACUACGUG
rnacentral:rRNA from 1 species